UGCUCCUCCCUCUUGAACUGCAAGGAGAGAGGAUAACAGGGGCUUUCAGAGGCCAGGGCCAGCUGAACAGCCUCAGGGCAGAGCUCCUGGAAGCCACUCUCACCAUGGACUGGGCUCCCUUUUUCCUCCUGCCCCUGGUGUUCUCCACAGGUCUCUGCGCUGAACUUAGGCUGACCCAGCCCCCAUCUGCUUCUGCCUCCCUGGGAGCCUCGGCCAAGCUCACCUGCACCCUCAGCAGUGAGCACAGCAGCUACUACAUUUUUUGGUAUCAGCAGCAGCAGCCAGGGAAGGCCCCUCGGUAUCUGAUGUAUGUUAACAGUGGUGGAAGCCACACCAAGGGGAAUGGGAUCCCCGACCGCUUCUCAGGCUCCGGCUCUGGGGCCAACCGCUACUUGACCAUCUCCAACCUCCAGUCUGAGGACGAGGCUGACUAUUACUGUGCAGCAGGGGACAGCAGUGGUAAUGCCACAGUGACACAGGACAAUGGGGAAGUGAGACAAAAACCUCUUCCCCAUCUGUGUCACACUCUCCUCCAGCCCAAACAGGGACCAGACACAAAGCCAUAG